ACCUUCCAGAUUUCUUACCCCCUCAGACCUAAAUAUUGGUCUGAGUGGCUACCAAGGGAGGAAAAAUAAAACUGAAGUGGGCUUGAAGUCUUUGGUAACAUUUAAAUUCAUUUCAAACACAU
rnacentral:snoRNA from 1 species